CGUCGCGUGGAGGAUGAAGGCCUUCGGGUUGUAAACUCCUGUCAUGAGGGAACAAUAAAGUCGCCGUGAAUAGCGGCGGCGAUUGAGGGUACCUCAGGAGGAAGCCACGGCUAACUCUGUGCCAGCAGCCGCGGUAAUACAGAGGUGGCGAGCGUUGUUCGGAUUUACUGGGCGUAAAGGGUGCGUAGGCGGUUCUGCGUGUCGGUCGUGAAAUCCCACUGCUCAACGGUGGAACGGCGUCCGAAACUGCAGGGCUUGAGUACAGGAGAGGAGAGCGGAAUUCUCGGUGUAGCGGUGAAAUGCGUUGAUAUCGAGAAGAACACCGGUGGCGAAGGCGGCUCUCUGGACUGAUACUGACGCUGAGGCACGAAAGCUAGGGGAGCAAACAGGAUUAGAUACCCUGGUAGUCCUAGCCGUAAACGGUGUGCACUUGGUGUAGGGGGAGUUGUCCCCCCUGUGCCGGAGCUAACGCGUUAAGUGCACCGCCUGGGGAGUACGGUCGCAAGAUUA
rnacentral:rRNA from 1 species